UGCCUCAAAGAGGGGGACAACAGUUGGAAACGACUGCUAAUACCGCAUAAGCCCACGACCCGGCAUCGGGUAGAGGGAAAAGGAGCAAUCCGCUUUGAGAUGGCCUCGCGUCCGAUUAGCUAGUUGGUGAGGUAAUGGCCCACCAAGGCGACGAUCGGUAGCCGGACUGAGAGGUUGAACGGCCACAUUGGGACUGAGACACGGCCCAGACUCCUACGGGAGGCAGCAGUGGGGAAUAUUGCACAAUGGGGGAAACCCUGAUGCAGCGACGCCGCGUGGAGGAAGAAGGUCUUCGGAUUGUAAACUCCUGUUGUUGAGGAAGAUAAUGACGGUACUCAACAAGGAAGUGACGGCUAACUACGUGCCAGCAGCCGCGGUAAAACGUAGGUCACAAGCGUUGUCCGGAAUUACUGGGUGUAAAGGGAGCGCAGGCGGGAAGACAAGUUGGAAGUGAAAUCCAUGGGCUCAACCCAUGAACUGCUUUCAAAACUGUUUUUCUUGAGUAGUGCAGAGGUAGGCGGAAUUCCCGGUGUAGCGGUGGAAUGCGUAGAUAUCGGGAGGAACACCAGUGGCGAAGGCGGCCUACUGGGCACCAACUGACGCUGAGGCUCGAAAGUGUGGGUAGCAAACAGGAUUAGAUACCCUGGUAGUCCACACUGUAAACGAUGAUUACUAGGUGUUGGAGGAUUGACCCCUUCAGUGCCGCAG
rnacentral:rRNA from 1 species